rnacentral:tRNA from 1 species
GCCGGAAUAACUCAGUUGGUAG